rnacentral:SRP_RNA from 1 species
GCUGGCUGCUGUAACGGGUAGCUGUGGCCCAAGUGGGAGCGACGCGUAAUGAGGAGGAUGUGAUUCUGAGGUUCAAUUCUCAUUGGCUCUCGUGGAGAACGCGCCCUCCGUUGGCUGUUGCUCUGGUAAAGUAGACUCAGCGAAGGCUAAAUCUACUUUAUCAUUAGAUGUUCGAGAUCGCGUGAGGCCUGAUAAAGGAGCAACGUAAAACGAACUGCAGUGGUGAAACGUGGGACGACGCUGUUCGAGAGAGCUUGUGAGAUACGUUGGCCUUCGUACACAUUCAACUAUUACGUUU